AUUAAACGGCCGCGGUACCCUAACCGUGCAAAGGUAGCGUAAUCACUUGUCUAUUAAUUGUAGACCUGUAUGAAAGGCAAAAUGAGGGCCUAACUGUCUCUUAUAAUCAAUCAAUAAAACUGAUCUCCCAGUACAAAAGCUGGGAUAUACCCAUAAGACCAGAAGACCCUGUGAAGCUUAAACUAAACUAUCAAACCACGUGAUAACUAGUUUCGGUUGGGGCGACCUUGGAAAUAAAAAGAACUUCCAAACACAACGAAUUAACCCGACACACAGGCCAACAAGCCAUAAACGACCCAGCACUGCUGAUUUAUGAAACAAGUUACUCCAGGGAUAACAGCGCUAUCUUCUUCAAGAGCCCAUAUCAAAAAGAAGGUUUACGACCUCGAUGUUGGAUCAGGACAUCCUAAUGGUGCAGCAGCUAUUAAGGGUUCGUUUGUUCAACGAUUAAUAGUCCCACGUGAUCUGA
rnacentral:rRNA from 1 species